UCCUCAAAUUGCUGAAGGCGCUUCUCCCACCUCCAUGCGGGAGAUGCGAGAUCCCCCGCAGGGUCCUCUUCCCCUCCACUUGGGACCGCUCUAGCCGUGUUCCUAGGGUCACAGAGUUUGUAGAAGUUGCAAAAGAAAAGUCAGCUGUGCCAGGGGUGUGUGAGCCCAGAGGCCCUCCGUGCGGUGGAGUCUCACCUCUGGCUCUUGCUCACAGAGCCCCUGCAUUCCAAAGUGUGACUGCGGAGUCCGCCCUCCAGAGCAGAGUCAGCUUCUGUUGUGAUCGACCCAGACAGCUUUAAAAUAUGGCCCAAGUCCUGGUUUGUUGUUGCAACAGUAUCAUAUUUAUUUAGUUUGGCUACUGACAGACGAGUGGAGUACUCCGCCACUGGGAACUGAACCCAGGCCACUGAGGGGGUGAGAGCGCUGCACUUUAACCGCUAGGCCGUCAGGGCUGGCUCCAGGCCCUCUUUGAUAAUUCUUCUUUAGUGUAUCCCUAAGUAUUGUGUGUGUAUGUAUGUGUGUGUGUAUUAUUCAAAUAUCAAAGAUAUACACAAAAGACAUACUUUUCUCGAUGUGUUUUUCAUAAGAAUAAAUUUGUGGGGCCAGCCCCAUGGCCGAGUGGUUAAGUUUGCGUGCUCCGCUUCGGCAGCCCCGGUUU